rnacentral:rRNA from 1 species
UACAGAGGGUGCGAGCGUUGUCCGGAAUCACUGGGCGUAAAGGGCGCGUAGGUGGUGGCUUAAGCGUGCGGUGAAAGCUCGGGGCUCAACUCCGAGUCGGCCGUGCGAACUGGGCUCACUGGAGCAUAGUAGAGGCAGGUGGAAUUCCGGGUGUAGCGGUGGAAUGCGUAGAGAUCCGGAAGAACACCGGUGGCGAAGGCGGCCUGCUGGGCUAUGGCUGACACUGAAGCGCGACAGCGUGGGGAGCAAACAGG